rnacentral:rRNA from 1 species
AAGACCUUGCGCUUUUGGAGCGGCCGAUGUCUGAUUAGCUAGUUGGUAGGGUAAUGGCCUACCAAAGCUUCGAUCAGUAGCUGGUCUGAGAGGACGACCAGCCACACUGGGACUGAGACACGGCCCAGACUCCUACGGGAGGCAGCAGUGGGGAAUUUUGGACAAUGGGCGCAAGCCUGAUCCAGCCAUGCCGCGUGAGUGAAGAAGGCCUUCGGGUUGUAAAGCUCUUUCAGCCGGGAAGAAAAGGCUACGACGAAUAAUCGUAGCUCAUGACGGUACCGGAAGAAGAAGCACCGGCUAACUACGUGCCAGCAGCCGCGGUAAUACGUAGGGUGCGAGCGUUAAUCGGAAUUACUGGGCGUAAAGGGUACGCAGGCGGUUUUGUAAGUCAGAUGUGAAAUCCCCGGGCUUAACCUGGGAACU